rnacentral:rRNA from 1 species
UACGUAGGGCGCAAGCGUUGUCCGGAAUUAUUGGGCGUAAAGAGCUCGUAGGCGGUUUGUCGCGUCUGUCGUGAAAGCUUGGGGCUUAACCCUAAGUCUGCGGUGGAUACGGGCAGGCUAGAGGCAGGUAGGGGAGAACGGAAUUCCCGGUGUAGCGGUGAAAUGCGCAGAUAUCAGGAGGAACACCGGUGGCGAAGGCGGUUCUCUGGGCAUUACCUGACGCUGAGGAGCGAAAGUGUGGGGAGCGAACAGG